rnacentral:rRNA from 1 species
AGAGUUUGAUCCUGGCUCAGGAUUAACGCUAGCGGCAGGCUUAAUACAUGCAAGUCGAGGGGCAGCAUGUCCCGUAGCAAUACGGGAUGAUGGCGACCGGCAAACGGGUGCGGAACACGUACAGAACCUUCCUUCGAGCGGGGAAUAGCCCAGAGAAAUUUGGAUUAAUACCCCAUGGUAUAUUUGAAAGGCAUCUUUUAAAUAUUAAAGAUUUAUCACUUGAAGAUGGCUGUGCGGCUGAUUAGGUAGUUGGCGGGGUAACGGCCCACCAAGCCUGCGAUCAGUAACUGGUGUGAGAGCACGACCAGUCACACGGGCACUGAGGCACGGGCCCGACUCCUACGGGAGGCAGCAGUAAGGAAUAUUGGUCAAUGGACGAAAGUCUGAACCAGCCAUGCCGCGUGGAGGAUGAAGGUCCUCUGGAUUGUAAACUUCUUUUAUAUGGGACGAAAAAAGGCUUUUCUAAGUCGUCUGACGGUACCAUAUGAAUAUGCACCGGCUAACUCCGUGCCAGCAGCCGCGGUAAUACGGAGGGUGCAAGCGUUAUCCGGAUUCACUGGGUUUAAAGGGUGCGUAGGUGGGUUGGUAAGUCAGUGGUGAAAUCCCCGAGCUUAACUCGGGAACUGCCAUUGAUACUAUUAAUCUUGAAUACCGUGGAGGUCAGCGGAAUAUGUCAUGUAGCGGUGAAAUGCUUAGAUAUGACAUAGAACACCAAUUGCGAAGGCAGCUGGCUACUCGAGUAUUGACACUGAGGCACGAAAGCGUGGGGAU